CUCAUGUAAUCCUGGUGCCAGAAGAUUUUGUUGUAAAAAGAAUAUUGAAGACGAUUGGUUAGAAGAGAAACUAUCCUGCAUACAGAAGUCUACACUAAAGGGGUAGUUAAGUUUGGUGAAAACUCGUGCCACUUCCAUUUCAUCAGGACAAAGCUUAUGAAAAUGUUUUCUUAAUCAUGGGUGACGAUGAAACUCUUUGCGUAAUGGCGGACGAAGAGACGCAAUUCUUGAAAAGCAUGAAAAUGGGAAUAGGAUAAAAAAUGAUAUUAGUGAGUGGAGAGUGUGAAUUUAUUGAUGAUUCACGAUAGUUUGACAUAUGUUGUUAAUUUGGGUCAACGUUCUAGAUGAUAGAAGACACCUUCAAAAUGCAAAUCAACUGAUAAACUUACAAUAUCGACUAGAGGACAUCUUCUGAAAGGAAAUCUCGAGAGCUACAGUCUGAAGUCCAAGACUUGCUCGGGUGUUGGAGGGUGAGCGGUCACUCGGGAUUACGCGAGUUAUAUACGAGCUUGAGAAUACGUGUGAAAAUCUAACGAUUUCUACGAGGAUUGCCAAUCAUUCCUGAAUUACCACUUUUAAGUGUUAUCUUCACAUCAUGCUUUACCUUGGGAUCAGAAGGAAAUUACGAGCUGAUUGUGGAAAUGACGUAAAAAAUAUCGAGCAGUCUAUGGAGGAAAAAAAAAAGAAAGAAAGAGGUCAAGCUUAUAGCGGUGUGUCACGAUUACUUAUUAUUAUUCAACAUCAAUCCAAUUUAAUUCUAAUUUUAAAUCAAUCUUUGAAGACGAUGACUUUACUGAAGAACGUAACACACCGUGAGAAAAUAGUUUCCAAAGUGAAAUCUAAUCUACAAAGAAGGUCUUUUGAAACGCAAAUGUUGAUUCAUGUUGUAAGAAUGAUUGGGAAUGAUAAGAUACGAAAUAGAAUGGAGGGAUUUAAUCACGAGGUUAUGGAAUACAGAUUGGACAAUUUGAAGAAAACGGUUGGGCGAUAACAAAAUAUGUAACAGGAGAAACAGAUGUUAGACACUAUUGCAAGCAGGCUAAUGAAUUUUAAAAAAAUAAAAGCCACCGAGUAACUUGAUAACAUUACAAGGAAAUCCACCAGACAAUUGUUUAUGAGCGACGUUUAUGUACACAUUAGAAACGUAGGAGAGUAUCAAACAAUUCUCAGUAAGUACACGAAUGGGUGUUAACCUAACGGAGAAUGACUUAACGGAGUCUUCAACGUACACUGGAUCUUUUUGCUUUGCUCGACAUGCGAUUAGUCAUGAUCAGCAGUGAUCGAAUUAGAUGAAGAAGUGUACAGUCAGGUGAUUAAGAUGAACAAGAUGUUAUGAGAAAGAUGAUAUUACGUGUCAAGAAGUCAUUAAAGCAAUUCUCUAUUAAAGGUAAUUCGAAUUGAACGAGCAUGGAUAAUGGAAGAUGAUCCUGGCAUGAAGCUAAGAGGCAUAUAAUUUGAAGUUCUCCUGCACUUCAGGAUGAAAUGAAGUGAGAUGACUAUCAAUGAACCAGAUUUACAGAAUGAAAUUUCCUUGAAGAAUAUAAUUGUUAAAAGAAAAGCCUCAAGAAUUUCUCAUGGAUUCUAACUAGGAUAUAGCACUUUAUUUGUGAUUCGUCGUUUUGGUGGUCGCACGUGAGGAUGAUGUUUUAAGGUGCGUGGACUCAGCAGGGGCUCGUAUACAGUAAUCUGAGUAGGUUCAGAUCGCAUCUGAGAUGCCUAGAAUUUGCUUUGACAAAGCCGACACGUCCUGGGUUGUUGGCUGGAGACUUCUGUAGCUUUCAUCAGGUAAUUCAAUCAUCGGAGGACAUGUUCAGGAUAAUGAAUUUAAAUAUCACCGUGGGAAAUAUUCUUCUGAAGAUUUAUUAUUAAAUAUGGAAUUUUUUAUAAGAUGGAUUAUACAAUUUUAUGCAAUGUAAUUGGAUAUGAAAUUAAGUCAACGAAAUUCCGACAAAAAUUCGACGCCACAGGAUAUUUGAAAUUUAUAUUUUACAUCAGCGAGAAUCGCGCUUACAAGCCAUCGAGAUACGUAUUCGAUGCAUCAGUCAUCUUUUUCUUCGAGUAAAGUUUAUUCAGUCGCAUAAUUACUUCGCUGCAUAAAUACAGACAUGUAUUAUUGCCAUCAGGAAGAAAUACAGAAUGCAGCAGGUAUCAUAAUGCAUCAUUACAACGACCAAGCCCAAGGAAUAAUUCAAGAAUAUACUCAUGAUAAAGCAAAGCUCAUCGCUAGUUCAUUUUUAUCAUUGAUUCAUCGGACAUGUUUUUAAUCCUAUAUAUCUUGAAUCAUUAGACGUAAAAAAAUUAAUGAGAUAUAUUUCUUGGACAAGGUCAUCAAGAGAAAGACCAUCAUGAUUUAUCGUUCGUAGUAACAUGUAAGAACGUUUUGAUAACGGUUUAAACAUGUGGCAAUUAAACAUGACGACGACGUGAGUGAAUAAGAAGAAGCUGAAUAAAAGUUUUACAUGAAAAUGUCAAUCUCAUCAUAACGGAAAUAAUUCAAAGAAUAUCUUUGAAGUGAAGAUUUUUUCUGCAUUAACAGAGAAUAUGCGAGAGUUGGUCAUUGGUGUGUUAAGGAAAAGAUCAAAGCGAAUUCGAUCGAUUUCUCACUCGAAGUAGGUAAUCAUGCAUCGCAUUCUUGAGGUGCCUAGUGGAUUUUCGGUUUCAUUGUUCCUGGAGGUAGGAAGAGUGGAAAAAGAAAUGGCCAGUAGGAGUAAGAGAUGCGAAUAAAGUAAGACACAAAGAAAGAAAAAGAUAGAUACGAGAAUGAGGAGAUUCAACAUGGAGUUGAUGGUUGGCUCGUCGUCGGAUUCGUCCUUCCGUGCCGCUCUUGGAGGAAGCAAACGACACAAAAACUGGCGAGCAUUGUCCCGGGACCUGCAGAGACAACCCGCGGACUGCGUGCAUACCAACUGUAUGCUGAGAGAGAGAAAGAGAAAGAGGCUUGCACACCACCUCAAAACCCUGCCGCGUGAGACACUGAGGACGAGCGAAAGGAGAGAGGUGGAGCGGUGGAUUUGAUUUUUAAAUGCAAACAAAUCUACAUCGUGGCAAAAGCGCCGCCGCCUGUCACUCGUCGUCGUCAGGGACUACUUUCGAUCCUUGGAACCUAAGGGAUUUUUUCAAUCAUCGAAGGCCAACCGAUUCUGCGUGGAGGAUCCACUGCUUCAUGUCUUUCUGGAGAGUAAUCGUUUGCCGUGACUACCGCAUGUCCUCCUACGUAUUAUUAUUCCUGCGGUGAAAUUAUCCCAAGUCAUUGUCCGAGUGAUUCGUUGUGAUCAACAUGAGUUUCCUCUGUGGGAUGUAAUUGCUAAGAUGCAUCUUGUCUGCAGAGAACGUUGAGACGUUCAUAAGUUAUCAAAGUAAAGGAGAAGAGAGAAAAUAAACCAGUAGACACAAGGGCAGGGAGAGACAUAAUUGCUGUGGAUUAAUGAGACGGCAUAAUUGCACGAUGAUCGCCGAUCGUUUUAUUAGACAACUUGAGAAAACAGAAAAGAAACAAAAGGAACUGGUCUUUUAGCAAAGACACCGCGUCGCAUAUUAUUAAGCUUCAAUGUUGAGUAUGUUCGGCUGGUCAAAAAUGACAAUUACUCGGGUCGCCAGCUAAAGGACACCGCCACUAAACCUGAACGCCAACUGGAAUGCAGCGUCAUCGGUAGCGCUGUCUUCCAUUGUGGGAGCCGAAAUCUCUUAUGACAACCGUUUCAGUCAUGAAGAUUGUGACCUACGAUUUCUUCAUUCCAACAUGUCGUGCCUUACUUUUACAUCUGCACAAGUGUCCAUCACUAGAUACCUUGGUAAAGACAUGAGAAUCUGGUCGCAUACCAGCGCAAUCUAGUGUCUUUUACUGCGACUAGUCAAGCUCGUCAGGGCUGUUGACUUCUUGGAGAUGAGGACUAAAAACCAGAGCUCAGCAACAGGGACAUUUAAAUGAUGUCGCCGGCUCAACUGUCGCAGUCUACCUUGAGAGAAGGCACACACCAACCACAGCAGCCACAACGACAGCAAGAAUAACUCACAGGUCUGAAGAGCUCGCGGUUAGACGGCUAGACGGACUGAUGGAAAGACGACGGACGGGGCUCAGUCACUGGUGACAUCGUGGUGCUCUUUCUUUCCUCUCUUCAUUCCUCUUAUAUUACUAUCUUUCUCUAAAUGCUCGCCCAGUUAGGUGGGUAAACACUCAGAAACAGAGAUAGUAAAGUAACAAACUUAGCAAGAUCGACUGAGAUAGAGUGAGCACCAACUUGCCGCAUUCAAGGGGUAAAGGGGAAAAGGAUGCUAAUCAGAUGCCGACAACGCCGGCAAACAUCAAAAGAGAAGUAGCGUCGCGGCUCGUCACCGCACGCGCGGCCGUGCCUUUAUUUGAAUGCGCUAUCUUCGGCAACGACGCCAGGAUACCGCUUUUUCGGGACUUUGUCGCUGCUCUUUAGAACCCUAAGGAAUCUCUACCAAUUUCAAAUUGGCUUGCUUAGUUUUUUAUUACAUUAAGUCACCUAAAUUUGACUAACAAUGUUGUUGUAAAUGUUACGCUUUUAUGUUAAUGUAAACGAUAUAUAUUCAUGUGAAAAAUAUUCAACGAGAGAAACUGCAGAUUUUUUACUAGUAAGAAAAACAAUAGCAGAUAUAUUAUUAAAAUAUUUUUUUGAAUUGAUAAAAUGAUCUAAGUCAAUUUCUACACAGUUAAGCAAAUAUUAUACAUAAUCAAACAGACAUAAAAUCCAUUGUAAAAUUUCUAAUUCAGUUAUUACAAUGGAAUAUAACACUAGAUCUAAUCUUGAGGUUUAAAUAAUAGUUUCACUUGAUCCAUAACACGAAAAACAGUUAUUUUAAAAUUUUAGAUAAAACAAUAUUUUCAAAUUAUCUUACUCAAACUUAUUCUAUCUAAUCUAAUCUCUAUAUAAUGUAAUCAUAGCAUAUGAGACCACUAGAUGUGAUUUUUUUUAAAGUGAAUUCAUGUAGUAUAACGUAAAUAUUUAAAUAUAGAUACAUAGACUAUAAAAAUUGUACUAAAAAAAUUAGUUUACAUAUUUAAGUCAAGAGUAAAAUUCAAUGUUAAGUAAAUAGUUUAAAUCUAGAUAGCGCAGCGCCUUUGUGUAAUCUUUGUCAAUGAAAUUACCGUUAGAGAUUAAAAAUCAUCAACUGAAACCAUUACAGAGCUCACAAAUCUUCAUGACAAAUUGAUAAUGAUGAUAGAGAAGGAAAAGAAACUAUUUAAAAACAUUUUAUGUUAUAUUAAUCAUAAAUUCCUUAGCCAAAUUUCUUUAAGUUAUGAUGAAUGUGACAAUGAUUGACUCAUUUUGGUAAUUUAUCAUAGAUUCAAAAUGAACUAAAUUUUUCUUCAAGUGGGGGCAAGUCAUUUAAGAAGAAGAGUUGAGCAUAAAGAUGUUGUUUGAGGCGUCGGACACCUGUGCCAACGGAGUCUGCAUAUGUUACACAAUCUCUUUUCUCCUGUUGGGCUUGGCUUAUCCUGCAACGUACACGCACUGUUGUAACCAUACUUAUGUAGAUAUACAUAAGGAACGUACCCUACAUUAAGAUGCAGCAGAUGAUAAGCUUGGCUUUACGAUCUCGCGCUUCGACGAUUCAUAGCUUGGCAAUACGAGUGUUCGUCCUCUCACAGCUUCUUUUUCUUUAUCUUCUUCUCUUCUUCUUCGUUGGCUGAUCUUUUUGUUCCUCCUCUCCUUCUUCUACUUCCAAUACUCAUAAGCCAAUUCGAACUAUGUAGGUAUAGUCUUAGUGUAAUGAUUUAUUCUACACUCAUAAUACGAGUUAAGGAAUAAUGCAGAGUCAAUCAUGUUAGCUGUGAGAAUAAAGAAAUACAAGGAGAGGAAGAUGAUCGAAGGCAUCGUAAUUCAUAGGUUUAUGGCAUUGUUAGCGCAUUGUUGUCGAAUAUCGUUGUGGUUGCAUUGGAUAAAGAGAAAGAGAGUAAGACAGAGUAGCAUUGUGGUAUAUGUAGUAGUAUCAUGAUACAUCCUGUUGCAUAUUUCACCUCGAAAAAGCCUCCUGGCCGUGGUCCACAGUGAGUAUACGCGAGGGUGUGUAAAUCAAACCUUUGCUGACCAGCUUGUAAAUCUUUUAGUAAGUACACACCGCUUGGAUAAUUUAAACAGCCGCCUUGGCUUUGAAGGUGGUUUUAGUUAUCGAUAUGAGUCUAUGUGAAUUCAGUGCUUGAGUCUCACGUGAGAAUAUUAAUACGUAAUGUUUCUUUUGUUUUGUUAUUUGAUAUUUUGUAACAAGCUACUCAACGCCUACUAAACAUUUUUUAUUAUCUUGACAAAUUGUAAAUUUAAUUACUAUAUCAUUUUAUUGUUAUUUUGAAUUUGUGAAGAAUGUAAAUAAAUAUAUUAAAUGUGAAUAUUGUGAGUACUUGAGAUGAAGUAAUAGGAGAAAAAAGAUAGAGACUCAAGAGUUGGGAGAGACGACAGGUGGGCUAGAUUCUUG